CCCUUAGAUGUCCUGGGCCGCACGCGCGCUACACUGACGAAGUCAGCGAGCAUGUCCUACGCCGACAGGUGCGGGGAAUCUUGUCAAACUUCGUCGUGAUGGGGAUUGAUUUUUGAAAUUCUUGAUCAUAAACGAGGAAUUCCUAGUAAGCGCAAGUCAGCAGCUUGCGUUGAUUACGUCCCUGCCCUUUGUACACACCGCCCGUCGCUACUACCGAUUGAAUGGUUUAGUGAGAUCUUCGGAUUGGCGCCACUGCAGCUCAGCAAUGGGCUUGGUGGAUGCCGAAAAGUUGAUCAAACUUGAUCAUUUAGAGGAAGUAAAAGUCGUAACA
rnacentral:rRNA from 1 species